rnacentral:rRNA from 2 species
CGAAAUUCCUUGUCGGCUAAAUACUGACCUGCACGAAAGGAGUAAUUAUCUCUUAACUGUCUCGACAAUAGACUCGGUGAAAUUAUGGUUCCGGCGAAGACGCCGGAGACCCGCAUCUAGACGAAAAGACCCCGUGGAGCUUUACUAUAACUUCAUAUUGGAGUUUGAUUUAACAUGUGUAGGAUAGGUGGGAGACGUUGAUGCUUGAACGCUAGUUUAAGAGUAGUCGCCGUUGAAAUACCACCCUUGUUACAUUGAACUUCUAACUUGUUCCCGUUAUCCGGGAAGAGGACAGUGUGUGGUGGGUAGUUUGACUGGGGCGGUCGCCUCCUAAAAGGUAACGGAGGUGUUCAAAGUUACACUCUUUACGGUCAGAAACCGUAUCUAAGAAGCAUAAAGAGUCAGAAGUGUGAUUGACUGUGAGACCUACAAGUCGAGCAGGUGCGAAAGCAGGACUUAGUGAUCCGGCGGUUCUUCGUGGAAAGGCCGUCGCUCAACGGAUAAAAGCUACCCCGGGGAUAACAGGCUUAUCUUUCCCAAGAGAUCACAUCGACGGGAAGGUUUGGCACCUCGAUGUCGGCUCAUCGCAUCCUGGAGCUGGAGUCGGUUCCAAGGGUCUGGGCUGUUCGCCCAUUAAAGCGGUACGCGAGCUGGGUUCAAAACGUCGUGAGACAGUUUGGUUCCUAUCUGAUGUGGGCGUUGGAAUAUUGAUGAGAGCUACUUC